CGCCCCCGCUCGAGGAGGGUUUUCACCCUCAAUUUUUUCGAUGUUUUGUUUCCGGGGGGGGGGGAAGACCCCCCCUCCGGCCUCUUCUCUCCUGGAGGAAAAUAAAAGGGUUUUAAAAACGGGGGUAAAUUUGCCCUCUGGAAUAUGUUUGGCAGGGGGGUAACCGGAUCCCGCCCCCCGGCCCCCCUUUGCUGGGUUUCGCUUGGGCCGGAAGUAAAGGAUUUAUUAGGGGACAGUUUGGGGGGCAUUAGUAUUUUAGUUGUCAGAGGUGAAAUUCUAGGAUUUACUAAAGACUGACCAAUGCGAAAGCAUUUGCCAAGGAUGUUUUCAUUAAUCAAGAACGAAAGUAGGGGGAUCGAAGACGAUCAGAUACCGUCGUAGUCUUACCGUAAACUAUGCCGACCAGGGAUCCGGAGAGUUUGCAUGGAUGACUCCCCGGGCACCUUGUGAGAAAUCAUAAGUGUUUGGGUUUUGGGGGGAGUAUGGUCGCAAGGCUGAAACUUAAAGGAAUUGACGGAAGGGCACCACCAGGAGUGGAACCUGCGGCUUAAUUUGACUCAACACGGGGAAACUUACGAGGUCAGGACACUGUGAGGAUUGACAGAGGGAAAGCUUCUUC
rnacentral:rRNA from 1 species